rnacentral:rRNA from 1 species
CCUACGGGUGACAGCAGUGGGGAAUAUUGCACAAUGGGGGGAACCCUGAUGCAGCGAAGCCGCGUGAGUGAAGAAGUAUUUCGGUAUGUAAAGCUCUAUCAGCAGGGAAGAAAAUGACGGUACCUGUCUAAGAAGCACCGGCUAACUACGUGCCCGCAGCCGCGGUAAUACGUAGGGGGCAAGCGUUAUCCGGAUUUACUGGGUGUAAAGGGAGCGUAGGCGGUUAUGAAAGUCUGAAGUGAAAGCCCAAGGCUCAACCAUGGGACUGCUGUUGAAACUGUAAAACUGGAGUGCAGGAGAGGUAAGCGGAAUGCCUAGUGUAGCGGUGAAAUGCGUAGAUAUUAGGAGGAACACCAGUGGCGAAGGCGACUUUCUGGACAGAAACUGACGUUGAGGCACGAAAGUGUGGGGAGCGAACAGGAUUAGAUACCCGAGUAGUC